ACCCGGAGCUCCGCGGCCGCCCAGCGCCCGUCCCCGCGCCGCACUCCCCGGCACUCCCCGGCGCUCCCCGCGCCGCGCGCCCCGCACCGGCUGGAGGCCCCGGCCCCCCGGCGUUCCCUCUCCGCGCACCUCCCGGCCCGCGCUAGGUGAGUGUGGACGCCACUGGCGGGGGUGCCGCGGUGCGCGAGCGCUCGGCCAGCGGCAGAGACGCCGCGGGAGCCGCCCCCAGCGCCAACGCCGCCGCGGGCGGGAAGGGCGAGGCUCGGCGAGGCUGGGCGAGGAGCUGGGCGGCAGACGCUGAGCGGGGCGCGGCGCGGGGCGCCGGACGAGCGCGGGCGUAGGAGGAGCGCGGGCGUAGGAGUCGGCGACCCGCUCGCUCCCGCGGCCGGUGCCUCUGGGCUGGGGGCCGGGCUGGGGGCCGGGCCGGGCCGGGCCGGGCCGGGCGGCCAGGCGGCUCCGCCCCUUCGCCGGGCAGCGGCUGAGCGCGCGAGAGGAGCGGCGCGGGGGCGCCCCCCUCGGCCGGGCGCUCGGGUUUCAGCCGCCGCUCCUCCGCGCCCCGCCCGCGCCUGGCCCGCUCGCCGGCGCCGGGAGAGACCUCGUAACGGAACUGGGACGCCAGCGCUGCAUUGUGGGAGCUUUUAAAGCGGCGGGGAGCUCGGCGCGACCCUCGGGCCCACCGGGCCACGCUCGCCCGGCCCGCGACGCCCCCCCGCUGUCGCCUGGCCCGCGACGCACCGAGGCCUGAGGACCCGAAAGCCGGGCGCGGGGAGAUGACCGGUGGCUCGUGACGGUCCCACGGGCAAAAUCUUCCAUCGCCCGGGGCUGAGACUUGUCAAACUGCCCUCUACGGUCACCCGGAAAGUAGGAGGCUUUUUCUGCAGAGGGGAAAAAAAUCAAAAAGAGCCGUUCCAUCCCCCCUCCAAGGACUGGGUUUGAAUUGCUUUUCAUCUGCAGUGGCUGUGAUUCAGCGUCCCUCUUAGCAGCAGGCAAUGACAGAGGCAGGAGAGGGGAAAAAAAAAAAGAAAGAAAGAAAAAACACAGCAAAUGAAUCAAACGGACCAGGUAGCAGGCAAGAGUGUGGUUAUCGUUGGACCAGGAUUCAGGAUCUGACUGAGUAGCUGACUCUUAAUCCAGUUUGUGUUGAUCACCAGGAGGAUCUGGACCUCAGUAUUACCACAUCUAGAGCUAUAAUCACAUCCCUGUUAAGCCUUCCUGAGAUCACACCAAAUGUCCUUGAUGGGAAUUGUAAACAACCCUUACUUCUGGUUUCUAAUGAUAUUCCAGGAAAGGAGCCUAACUAGAGUCAGUGAUAUGCCAACUCCACCUUUGCCUUCCACCAUGUUUGGAAGCUCCCUGAGGCCUCACCAGGAGCAGAUGCUCGUCCCAUGCUUCCUAUAAGCCUGCAGAACUGGAAAAGAAAGCUGGAUAAAGUAUUUAUAGAAGAUAGAGGACCUGUGGUGGCUCAUGCCUGUAAUCCAAGGUGGAAGGAUUGCUUGAGGCCAGAAGUUCAAGACCAGUCCAAGCAACAUAGCAAGGCCCCAUCUCUACAAAAAAUGAAAAUAAAAUUAGCCGAGCGUGAUGGCUCAUGCCUGUAGUUCUAGCUUCUAGAGAGGCUGAGGCAGGAGGAUUGCUUGAGUCCAGGAGUUCAAGAUUACAGUGAGCUAUGGUCACACCACUGCACUCCAGCCUGGGUGAUGGAGUGAGACUGUCUCAAUAAAAAGACAAAAAGGCUGGCCAGGGGCAGUGGUUCAUGCCUGUAAACCCAGCACUUUGGGAGGCAAAGGCAGGAGGAUUGCUUAAGCCCAGGAAUUUGAGAUCAGCCUGGACAACAUGGUGAGACCCCCAUCUCUACAAAAAUUUUUUUUAAAAGUUACCCAGGCAUGGUGUUGCACAUCUGUGUUCCCAGCUACUGGGGAGGCUGAGACGGGAGGAUCACUUGAGUCCAGGAAGUUGAGAGGUUGAGGCUGCUGUGAGCUGUGAUUGUGCCACUGCACUUUAGCCUGGACAACAGAGGGAGACCCUGUCAACAACAACAACAACAACAAAAAAGCAAAACAUCAUAGGCUGCAGAAAUAAACUUUCUUGUCAAUUGUGUCUUUAACCAUGACCAUUUUGAGUCAUUUCCACAGUGAGUUGCCUAAUUUUGAUGCAUUUCUGAAAACUCUUUAUAAGCAAGUAAAAUCCUAGAGAAUUGUGCCUUCAAGGAGACUCAUGGAAAGGAUGGAAAGAACUCUUGAAUACAUGUUUCUGAUAGCUUUAUGAUCAUAUCAUUUGGACUGGGUAAGAAUUCCCAGAACUCAUGAAGAGACUGACUAUUUAUUAAUCCAAGCAGGAAAAGAAUUAAUUGAAUACCAAGGAAAUACUGUGCCAGAGAUUUUCAUGCUAAAUCAGUCAGCACCGAAAUCGUUAAGAUGUGUAGUUUGAAUGAACUCCAUGAUCCUAGUCAAAUUUCCUAUGAUGACCCAUUUAAUAAACAGUGCUAUGCACCUGAAUUGGAGAAACAGAAUUGAUACUUAAAUCCAAUGUUAAUCAUAGAUUCAUGGAAAGCCUAAAUGGCUGCUUGGGUCUUCCUGAGCCCUUAAAGCUUCCAUUAUUAAAGGCUCUGCACUUUAUAAGUUAUCACUGAAGAGAGAAAAUGAUCCAGAUUUAAAAUACACAUAUUGGUGUGGUGAAUGUUCUAAAUUGCGAAAAUGGUUUAUGACCAACAUUUGGUUUGUCAUGCUCACAAUCCUGGAAAUACAUUCAAAACUUCAGGUACAUUUCUGCUACCUGAUGGGCUAUUUGAAUAUAUAGAGAGGGAUUUCAUUCAAUUGCCAUUUUCAUUGCAUGUUUUUUGGUUGUAUAGAAGCUUUCCCAUGCAAGGAGGCUGAUGCUGUUAUUACAGUAGCUAAAAGGUUAGUAGGAAAUGUGUUUUCCCCCAUGGGGCAUUCCUGGAGAAAUCUCUAGCAAUAAAGGUACUUGUUUGACUGGACAAGUUGUAAAACAGUUUAAUAAGGUUUUUUUUAGGUGUCAUAGCAUUAGGCAAAGCUAACUGAAUUGACUGGAUUGUCAUAGUCAAACAUAUUGCAGAUCCGCUUCCAAUAGAAGACAAUGAAAUAGUCACUGGAAAGCCUGUGCUCCUAAUUUUAGAACCUCAUGUAUCUUCUGCUCCUAAACUCUGAUAGGACUAAAUGCUGUGAGGCCUCAAUGCAUUAUGUUAAUGUGUAUUUUCACCAGGUCAAGGAAGCUUUUCCUGAUCCACUAACUAAGGACAAUCAAACCCUUCAUGAUCUAGAAUCUGGAGACUGUGUCUUCUGGGAAUAGUAUCAGAGAAAGACUGCCCUUACUGCCCACAUGUAGCAAAACUUUGAGACGUUGAAUUAUGGGUCCAUAAUCUCACAACUCAGAGGGGCACCUCUAGACUCUUGGAACUGUAUAUCUAUUGGAGACUUUAAGGUAAAGCUGAACAGAGAGACGUUUUUCUCCAGAAGCAGACAGCACCAUAGUCAUGGACAGCUUUCCCAAGAUCACAGAUCAAGACUUCUCUGCCGUCAUGAGACUCAUAACCUCUUAAUUUUUUCUUGCUUAUGCUUCUGUGAACAAUAGAAUUGGAAAAGGGGUGGUCCCGCGUGCACCCAUAGGGUAUACUUUUAUUUGUGGAGGAUUUUGCUGCCAACCUUAUACAUGGGCAAACUUAUGCCUUCAUGGAUGGAAGAUAAAGGGCUAAUAUGGGUUAGAAAUUUUAAUGGUACCUUUGUUUCUCCAUAAUCAUUCAGAAACAGAACACUGGUCCACUCUUGUUAACCUACAUCAUAGGUUGAAGAGAACAUUGCCAGGAGGCCUUCAUCCUUCCAGAUGGGCACCAUUUGUUGGGUCUUUUUCCGUGGUAUGAAGAAAAUGAAGCAAUGAUUAGAAAUUGGUCCCUCGGCCGGGCACAAUGGCUCAUGCCUGUAAUCCCAUCACUUUGGCAGGCCGAGGCGGGUGGAUCACCUGAGGUCAGGAGUUUGAGACCAGCCUGACCAAUGUGGUGAAACGCCAUCUCUACUAAAAAUACAAAAAUUAGCUGGGUGUGAUGGUGCACACCUGUAAUCCAGCUACUCGGGAGGCUGAGACAGGAGAAUUGCUUGAACCUGGGAGGCAGAGGUUGCAGUGAGCCAAGAUCACCCCACUGCAUUCCAGGUUGGGCAACAGAGCAAGACUCUGUCUCAAAAAAAAAAGAAGAAAGAAAGAAAUUGAUCCCUCAUAAUAGGCUGUAUAGCAGAUUCUACUGCAAAGGCUAUGGUUGCACAACAGACUUCUUUGAAUUUGCUUGCUAAACUUUUACUGGAUAAUACUGGGAUUACAGGUGUGAGCCACUGUGCCCAGCCUCUCCUGUUUAACUGUAUUCAUUCUAAUGUUUACUUACUUCUUUAAUUUGUAAAAUUGGGUCACUUAGAGUUUUUUUAGCCUAUCUUGCCAUUUAGCCACUGUUACUGAUAAUUUGGAUGGAAAAGAAAAAUAAAUUAUAUCACCUCUCAUCUUCAGUGUAUAUAUGUGUUAACUUAGUAAAUAUAGUAUUCUUUCUCGUUCCUAAUGAAAAUUUAGUUUACGUACUGAAACACUGCAAACUUUUAUAAAUAUUGUGAUGUAUUUGACCAAUACAAAGGAUCUUUUUAGAAACAGCAAACAGUUCUCAGAUUAUAGGAAUUACUCAUUUAAUGAUAGUUUCUUCUU
rnacentral:lncRNA from 10 species